rnacentral:lncRNA from 1 species
AAUUGGAUCACAACAUUGUCAGUUUUAAGAGGUCCUAAACCAAGGGAUUGAUAAACAUUGUAAGGCAUAACAUUAAUAGAAGCCCCUAAGUCUAGCAUAACUUUCUCAAACCGUGUAGAACCAAUAACACAUGGGAUGUUGAAGCUUCCUGGAUCCUUCAUCUUUGGCGGCAUCUUCCUUUGGAGUACGGCCGAAACCGUCUCACUCAUCUUAACAACUUGAGUCUCCCUUGUAUGCCUCAUCGUGCAAAGCUCUUUCAAGAACUUAGCAUACUUUGGAAUUUGUCGAAUGCACCCAAAAAAAAAAAAAUAAUUUCAAGCUUUACAAAAUCAUACAAUCGGUUAUACAAGGGUUAGACACGAAAUCUUCAGAUUUUUAUACAAUCAACACUCGAAGUUUUCAAGACAAUAUACACAAACAAAAUCUCCAAAGCUUCGCACAAAUCGUCAUUCAUCCAAAGCAUCGAAAAUUACUACAAGUAUGUGAACAACUUUCAAGCAUCGAAAUCAACAAUAUGUUCAAAUACAUGGCGUCACAACCUGGUUCUUUCUAGUUGAUUUUAUUCAAAUUGGUUUGAAGAAAAUAGAUCACAUAUACCAAGUUAUUUUCUAGCGUCUAAAGUGAGGUGAUGCUUCGGCCCAAGCUCUUGGCUAGUUCGAGCGUGUUCCGUGUUUUCAGAAGGCUGUGUCGUUAAGAAACACGGAGGGCGAACCCCCUACAGGAACCAGGCAGGACUCGUUUAGUGGUCACGGAGAGCGAACUCCCAAUCGACCCCUUCACUGAGAAGAGAUAUCAGUCUAUGACCUUGAGAUCCAGUUAAACAAACCUGAGAACCAUAUCUAUGAAAAUAACUUGCCCCUUACUCAGUUGAGAACAAACUCGGGUCACUAGACCGGUCUACAAGUGUUAAUCAAAGCCGCCCUCAACCUCAUGAGAUCAUAAGAUAACAUGAAGGGUUAAGGCUAAGAUUAACAAAAGUGGCUUCCCCCUACAUAUUUCACUUUAGAAGCUACAAUAAACUCAAACAUACAUAAAACUAUAAACUUCCUAGAAAUUAA